rnacentral:rRNA from 1 species
UACGUAGGGUGCGAGCGUUGUCCGGAAUUAUUGGGCGUAAAGGGCUCGUAGGCGGCCAACUAAGUCAGACGUGAAAUCCCCAGGCUCAACUUGGGAACUGCGUCUGAUACUGGAUGGCUUGAAUUCGGGAGAGGGAUGCAGAAUUCCAGGUGUAGCGGUGAAAUGCGUAGAUAUCUGGAGGAAUACCGGUGGCGAAGGCGGCAUCCUGGACCGAGAUUGACACUGAUGAGCGAAAGCUAGGGGAGCAAACGGG